GACGAACGCUGGCGGCGUGCUUAACACAUGCAAGUCGAACGGAAAGGCCUGCUUUCCCUUGUGGAUUGCAGGUACUCGAGUGGCGAACGGGUGAGUAACACGUGAGUGAUCUGCCCCCAACUUGGGUAUAAGCCUGGGAAACUGGGUCUAAUUCCCGAUAGGACUGCAGGGUGGUGCCUGUGGUGGAAAACGAUUUUCUAGUGGUUGGGGAUGAGCUCGCGGCCUAUCAGCUUGUUGGUGGGGUAAUGGCCUACCAAGGCGGCGACGGGUAGCCGGCCUGAGAGGGUGGACGGCCACAUUGGGACUGAGAUACGGCCCAGACUCCUACGGGAGGCAGCAGUGGGGAAUAUUGCACGAUGGGCGGAAGCCUGAUGCAGCGACGCCGCGUGGGGGAUGACGGCCUUCGGGUUGUAAACUCCUUUCGACCGCGAGGAAGCCACCUGGUUGGAAGGGUGGUGACGGUAGUGGUAGAAGAAGCACCGGCUAACUACGUG
rnacentral:rRNA from 1 species